rnacentral:misc_RNA from 1 species
AAGACUAUAGACCUGCGGAGUACCUGCGGAAGGAUCAUUACCGAGUGAGGGCCCUCUGGGUCCAACCUCCCACCCGUGUUUAUCGUACCUUGUUGCUUCGGCGGGCCCGCCUCACGGCCGCCGGGGGGCACCUGCCCCCGGGCCCGCGCCCGCCGAAGACAUCAUUGAACUCUGUCUGAAGAUUGCAGUCUGAGUAGAUUAGCUAAAUCAGUUAAAACUUUUAACAACGGAUCUCUAGAU